CAUUUGGACUUCAUACUGGAGUGCAGUCAACGGGCUGGAAUCAACACAUUUUCACUUUUUGUUCUUAGGGGCUUGUCUUCCUUUGCAACCCAGCCUUGGACACUGGAAACAUGAGGGCUUAGGUUGAGUAAAUUGUCAGUAAAUGCAUCUGGCUCUUCCGAGGAGUCCAGACUGUAACAAUGACCACUACUAUUGUAGCGAACGGUUGUUGAACGCUUGUCUGGAGCUGUACCGUUCUAAUGGACUUUACGUCCAUCAUCUCAUUUAAUCCUCAGAACAGUUCAAAGAGGUAGGUUAUUAUUAUUACGAUCAUCCUUGAUUAUAGAGUCUUGGCGAACAUCCAUAACCUGCCUAGCCCAGGUCACACAGUUGUUAAGGUGUGCAGAGGUCCACGCGCUUGGUGCCUUGACCUCUGCUACGGGUGCUGCCUUCUUCCAUCCAGGCUGCUCCCAUUACCCCUUCAUUUUCGCCCCCCAAGGGCUCUUGCACCUACCCUGAGGAGAUAAUAAGCAGCCAGAGCAGGGCCCAGAGGGCGGCUGCCCGGGCUGGGAGGAGCCUCCAAGGUCCCCGUGCCUGGAGCCAACUGUACCGCUUGCGGAGAACGAAGAGCUGCAGAACUGCGUCCCCUCGGAGCAGAUACUGUCCUCUGCGCGGGAGGAUGACUUACCCACAGGGGCUGGUACGGACAAGGAAAUAAAGGACCGGGUAGGAGGGAGAGACUGGCCCACAGCCCUUCUUAGGACGGCAAAGCCCUGUGAGCGGACGCUCUGCGCCACCAGCGGCUCUAGAAUAGUCGCGGGCCGGCCUGACUGCGAAAGGCCAGGGUCCGCGGCCCGGGCGCCAGGCGGUUUCUGCACACACUGCGGCCCCGCCUUUCCUGGUGGCAGUCAGGUCCCUCCCCGGCCCUGCUGCCGGCCCACGUGGACUGGCUGGCCCGGGCUUCCUCAAGGAUCUCCCGUGGGUGUGUUGGGGAGGAGGGCGCCGAGGAGGAAGGAAUUCAAAGUAGAGUAAUCGACACCCCGCGACUUGCCGUCGGGGAUCUUGGUCUUCAAGCGAAUCCGCCUCUGCAGGUGCUUGGCAGCUCCGAGGUUCUCCCUGCAGGGGCAGCCUGGGAUUCCAGAGGGUUCCAGAGGAUCCCAAGGACCUGCGUGCCCGCGUCUCCCGCCGGGUGCGCGCACUGAGCUUUGCCCAGCGUUCUUGGGCUGCCUUCUCCCCUUCUGCACGGCUGUGGGUCCCAGCAAGACCCAGCAGUAAAAGAGAAAGGGCGGCGGGAGGAUGAGCCCUGCCCAGCUCGGCAGGAGGCUGCGGGCGCACCACGAGGAAGCCCAGUGCCGGGGCGCUUCUUCCAGCCCGGGACCCCCGUUCCCGCUCUCCGCAGGCGGAGAUGGCCCAAGGCUCGGCCCCAAACCCUCGAUUUCCUAUGAACCAGUCCUUACUCCUUUCCUAGAUGAAAACUGAGGCAAUGCCAUAAAAACAAGUGAAGUACUGAUACAUGCUACAACUUGGAUGAACCUUGAAAACAUUAGGCUAAGUAAAAGAAACCUGACACGAAAGGCCACAUGUCCUAUGAUUUCAUUUAUAUGAAAUGUCCAGAAUUGGCAAAGCCAUAGGGGCAGAAAGCAGAUUAGCGGUUGCCAGGGGCGGGAGGCAGAGGAAUUGGGACUGAUUACUAAUAGGUAUGGGGUUUCUUUUUUGGGUGAUGGUCAUGUUCUAGAAUUAGAUAGUGGUGAUGGUUGUACAAUAUAGUGAAUAUACUAAAAACCACUGAAUUGCAUACUUUAAAAUAGUGAAUUUUAUGCUAUGUGAAUUAUAUCUCAAUAAAUUAAAUAAAAAGAGGCUUGAGAUAAAAAAAAAAAAAAGGAAAGAAACCGAGGUGAGUGAGGGGUUUAGGUUAAGAAUUUAGUAGAGUCCAGUUUCAAAUGGCAAUCUCUGUUCUCAAGGGAGCAGCCACGGAGAGGUCUGGGAGCCCUCUUUCUUAUUCCUGGCAGGCCGGAAGGACCUCACUGGAUGGUGUGUAUGUACGUCGGAGAGGAAGAGGGCGAAUGAAGGAGAAAGAUCAAACAUUGCUCUGUGUUUUGUGACUGACUGGCUUCUCUAACGACCAGAGAUGUUUUACAAAUUAUGAAUGGCUAUUAAAAAAUUAAUAUGUACAAUGAUACUAUUUACAAUAGCAUCAAAAACAUCAAAUACCUAGGAAUAAAUCUAAUGGAAGAAGUACGAGACCUAUGUAGAAAACUACAAACAUUGAGAGAAACUAAAUUAAAAAAGGACAUACCUUGUUCACUGAAAAGAUGUCAAAUUUCCCCAAAUUGAUCUAUAAGUUCAAUUUUUUUUUUUUUAGAAAUGAACAGGGUGAUUCUAAAAUUUAUAUGAAAAUGCAAAGGGCCAAAAAUAACCUAGAAAUUCAGACAGAGGAAGAACAAAGCUGAAGGCUUUACAUGACUAGAUAUCAAGAUGUAUCAUAAAGCUAUGAUAAUUAAGACAGCAUGGCAUUGGUUCAAGAAUAGACUAAUAGACCAGUGGAACAGAAUAAAGUUCAGCAUUGAAUCCACACAUAGCGGUGACACUGAAGAGCUGGUGGGAAAGCUGCAUUUGUUAAUAAAUGGCACUGGGUCUAUGUGAUAUACUUACGGGGAAAAAAAAAGAAUCUUGACCCCUAUCUCAUACUAUAUGGUAGGGAAAAUUUUGUGCUUCAGUGGAAAACUGCAUUUUCUGUAGCAUAGCCUCUGGGUUGUCUGAUUUUGAUUUUGUGGCAGCUGUUUUACAACUCUGUAACUUGUAGACAGCUGAUAGCAAUGCAAAAUUCAUGAAAAUAAAUUCACUCUGUCCCCCACCGUGGAAAACCGGUUUUGCCUCUAUUUGCAUACUCAUUUCAAUAUUCGUGAUCUAUAAACGUGUCUGUUCUUUGGAUUCACCUUUGAACAAGUCGAAACACCUUGCUAGAUUGCGUUCUUAAUAAGUUAAAUAAAAUUUUAAUGUGUUCAUUUUUAUAUCUUUAUGAGUCACAAUUUUAUCUUUUUUUUGAAAAUUGUCAUCUAACAAUACACAAAAAUUAAUUCCAGAUGGAAUGCUAAUCUAAAUGUGAAAGUAAAGCAAUAGAGCUUCUAGAAGAUUAUAAAAGAGAACAUAUUCAUGACUUUGGGGCAGCAAAGUUUUCUUAAAAAGGGCACAAAAGCACUAACCACAAAAGAAAAGAUUGAUAACUCAGAUUUCACUAAAACUAAGAAUUUCUUUUUACUCCAAAACACCACUAAGAGAAUGAAAAGGAAAGCCACAGAGUGGGAG
rnacentral:lncRNA from 1 species